AUACCAGCCCCGCGAGCGGUCGGGGUGCUUACUGGGCCUAAAGCGCCCGUAGCCGGCUCGACAAGUCCCCGCCUAAAGCCCCGGGCCCAACCCGGGGAGUGGCGGGGAUACUGUCGGGCUAGGGGGCGGGAGAGGCCGAGGGUACUCCCGGGGUAGGGGCGAAAUCCACUAAUCCCGGGAGGACCACCAGUGGCGAAGGCGCUCGGCUGGAACGCGCCCGACGGUGAGGGGCGAAAGCCGGGGGAGCGAACCGGAUUAGAAACCCUAGUAGUCC
rnacentral:rRNA from 1 species